rnacentral:misc_RNA from 1 species
GUAAAGAUGAGAUAGUAGCACAUCUCCACAGGAGAGCAUAGAGGUUUGUUACUUUUACUCUCUCUACCAAAACAGGUUCAGACCUCCAAUUUUCAACUAAUCAAGUACUGACCCGUCCACUGUCAGCAAUAAAGGAAGAGAUUUAUGGGUCCAAUACUUCAGGGUUUGCUGUUCAUGGUUUGAGAUGAGAUUGCAGGCCCCCAUCUAAAUCCUUCAAUUGGUUGAACAUUUCUACUUGUUUGUUGAUCUCCAUGGAGAACAACAUUGUUA